rnacentral:tRNA from 1 species
GUAUUUCAAAUGAUGCGUCGAAACAUACUCUCGGAUAUUGGAGAAGCCACCAUACGUCAUAACUC